UAGGGAAUCUUCGGCAAUGGACGAAAGUCUGACCGAGCAACGCCGCGUGAGUGAAGAAGGUUUUCGGAUCGUAAAACUCUGUUGUUAGAGCAGAACAAGGACGUUAGUAACUGAACGUCCCCUGACGGUAUCUAACCAGAAAGCCACGGCUAACUACGUGCCAGCAGCCGCGGUAAUACGUAGGUGGCAAGCGUUGUCCGGAUUUAUUGGGCGUAAAGCGAGCGCAGGCGGUUUCUUAAGUCUGAUGUGAAAGCCCCCGGCUCAACCGGGGAGGGUCAUUGGAAACUGGGAGACUUGAGUGCAGAAGAGGGGAGUGGAAUUCCAUGUGUAGCGGUGAAAUGCGUAGAUAUAUGGAGGAACACCAGUGGCGAAGGCGGCGCUCUGGUCUGUAACUGACGCUGAGGCUCGAAAGCGUGGGGAGCAAACAGG
rnacentral:rRNA from 1 species